rnacentral:misc_RNA from 1 species
AAGUCGUAACAAGGUUUCCGUAGGUGAACCUGCGGAAGGAUCAUUAUUGAAUUAUAAGGCUCUGAUUGUGCUGGCCUCUCGGGGCAUGUGCACGUCUCUGCCCGUUAAUCCCAACCCACCCCUGUGAACCGACCGUGUGGGGCGCUCUGUAACGGAGCCGUCCCAUGCUUUAUCAUAAACCCUGUAUGUCAUCAGAAUGUAAAUCUAUAUCCUCGCCUUAAAACCGCGUCGGUAAAAAAAAAUUAAUACAACUUUCAACAACGGAUCUCUUGGCUCUG